rnacentral:rRNA from 1 species
CUACGGGAGGCUGCAGUGAGGAAUAUUGCACAAUGGGGGGAACCCUGAUGCAGCAACGCCGCGUGGAGGAUGACACAUUUCGGUGUGUAAACUCCUUUUAUAUGUCAAGAAAAUGACGGUAGCAUAUGAAUAAGCACCGGCUAACUCCGUGCCAGCAGCCGCGGUAAUACGGAGGGUGCAAGCGUUACUCGGAAUCACUGGGCGUAAAGGACGCGUAGGCGGGUUGGAAAGUCAGGUGUGAAAUCCUACAGCUUAACUGUAGAACUGCACUUGAAACUUCUAAUCUAGAGUAUGGGAGGGGGAGAUGGAAUUAGUGGUGUAGGGGUAAAAUCCGUAGAUAUCACUAGGAAUACCUAAAGCGAAGGCGAACUCCUGGAACAUUACUGACGCUAAGGCGUGAAAGCGUGGGGAGCAAACAGGAUUAGAUACCCUCGUAGUC